rnacentral:rRNA from 1 species
AGACCCGAAACCCGGUGAUCUAGCCAUGGGCAGGUUGAAGGUUGGGUAACACUAACUGGAGGACCGAACCGACUAAUGUUGAAAAAUUAGCGGAUGACCUGUGGCUGGGGGUGAAAGGCCAAUCAAACCGGGAGAUAGCUGGUUCUCCCCGAAAGCUAUUUAGGUAGCGCCUCGUGAAUUCAUCUCCGGGGGUAGAGCACUGUUUCGGCUAGGGGGCCAUCCCGGCUUACCAACCCGAUGCAAACUGCGAAUACCGGAGAAUGUUAUCACGGGAGACACACGGCGGGUGCUAACGUCCGUCGUGAAGAGGGAAACAACCCAGACCGCCAGCUAAGGUCCCAAAGUCAUGGUUAAGUGGGAAACGAUGUGGGAAGGCCCAGACAGCCAGGAUGUUGGCUUAGAAGCAGCCAUCAUUUAAAGAAAGCGUAAUAGCUCACUGGUCGAGUCGGCCUGCGCGGAAGAUGUAACGGGGCUAAACCAUGCACCGAAGCUGCGGCAGCGACACUAUGUGUUGUUGGGUAGGGGAGCGUUCUGUAAGCCUGUGAAGGUGGCCUGUGAGGGUUGCUGGAGGUAUCAGAAGUGCGAAUGCUGACAUAAGUAACGAUAAAGCGGGUGAAAAGCCCGCUCGCCGGAAGACCAAGGGUUCCUGUCCAACGUUAAUCGGGGCAGGGUGAGUCGACCCCUAAGGCGAGGCCGAAAGGCGUAGUCGAUGGGAAACGGGUUAAUAUUCCCGUACUUGGUGUUACUGCGAAGGGGGGACGGAGAAGGCUAUGUUGGCCGGGCGACGGUUGUCCCGGUUUAAGCGUGUAGGUGUGUGUUCCAGGUAAAUCCGGUUCACUU